rnacentral:tRNA from 1 species
GUUAAUGUAGCUUAAACUUAAAGCAAGGCACUGAAAAUGCCUAGAUGGGUCUACUGACUCCAUAAACA